GACGAACGCUGGCGGCGCGCCUAACACAUGCAAGUCGAACGGGAUCUUUUAGAGAGCUUGCUCUCUGGCUGAUCUAGUGGCGGACGGGUGAGUAACACGUGAGCAACCUGCCCUGGAGUGGGGGAUAACGUCUGGAAACGGACGCUAAUACCGCAUAACAUCAUUGAGCGGCAUCGCUUGGUGAUCAAAGGAGAAAUCCGCUUUGGGAUGGGCUCGCGCCCGAUUAGGUAGUUGGUGGGGUAAAGGCCUACCAAGCCAACGAUCGGUAGCCGGACUGAGAGGUUGAACGGCCACAUUGGGACUGAGACACGGCCCAGACUCCUACGGGAGGCAGCAGUGGGGAAUAUUGCGCAAUGGGGGAAACCCUGACGCAGCAACGCCGCGUGAUUGAAGAAGGCCUUCGGGUUGUAAAGAUCUUUAAUCAGGGACGAAGGAAGUGACGGUACCUGAAGAAUAAGCUCCGGCUAACUACGUGCCAGCCGCCGCAGUAACAC
rnacentral:rRNA from 1 species